GAGGGAAUAUUGGUUAAUGUGCGAAAGCGCGAACCAGCAACGCCGCGUGUACGAAGAAGGCCUUCGGGUUGUAAAGUACUUUUCACCGGGAAGAGGAAGGACGGUACCGGUGGAAUAAGUCUCGGCUAACUACGUGCCAGCAGCCGCGGUAACACGUAGGAGACGAGCGUUAUCCGGAUUUACUGGGUGUAAAGCGCGUGCAGGCGGUCUGUUAAGUUGGAUGUGAAAGCUCCCGGCUAAACUGGGAGAGGUCGUUCAAAACUGGCAGGCUAGAGUGUGGUAGAGGGGAGUGGAAUUCCGAGUGUAGCGGUAAAAUGCAUAGAUAUUCGGAAGAACACCAGUGGCGUAGGCGACUUCCUGGACCACAACUGACGCUCAGAAGCGAAAGACAGGGUAGCAAACGG
rnacentral:rRNA from 1 species